CCGCUACUUAAAGUAGCGGUUUGUUGCUGGACCGAGAAAAAAAAAAAUCGGUUUGUUUUUCCUUAGCUGACGUGGGCGGUACGGUGAGAAUUAAAAAAAGAUUAACUGUAAUUUGGGAAUUAGAUAAUUUUCCAACAACAUAUAGGAAAAGGGCUCGUUUAAUAAUAGAUAUAGAAAAUUACCAUAUAUAGUACGGGAACUAAGCAAGAAAAAAAAAAAAAAAAUGUAUCUAAUAAAAACAGAGAAUUAAUCAUGUACACGCACGAAUUUUGGUGCACCUGUUACGGACUAGUGUCUAGUGGUAAGAGAAUGAAACCUCUGAAGUCUAGGUUCAGGGACCAGGAUCAAGCAUUGGCACCACCUCUCUUCUCUCUAAAAGAACAAAUUGCAGCAAGGGCCAUUCUUGACACUUUUGUAGUAACAAACUAACAAGUCACCCCUUUGAAGCGCUGCCGAUCUUCUCGAAUCCAACCCCAUCAUUCAAUUCAUCUUUGGAUGCAGUAGUUUACUUCUAUUUCCCUGUUCAUUACUCCGGAUAAUCAAUUCAUCUAAUUCAAAUGGGUCUUCAAAGUUUGGGGGCAAUGCAACCAUGCUUUUCAUUUACACUGCAUCUUGAAAUGGGUGAAUUUACAAACUACUUAAGCUCAUCGUCCUGUGUGUCGUUGGGAAUGGCAUUUCAAGGACUGAUAUCAUUUCCUCACCCAUUCUUUUCUCAAUAAUCUCACUAUCUGGUGAAAAAUGGCAUAUUACCGCAAUGACCAUGGCUGAGACUGCUUGGGAUUUCACUGUACUGGGAUACUUGGCAAAGCUCAUAUUGGGAAUCUUAGGGAUUUUGGUGAUUAUUUGAACAUUGGAAUAGAAAUUCAGCGAGUGAGAAUAGUGAAGGCAUUUCUUGCGGUGUUCGACGAUUUCUUGCAGGACAGGUUUUUCGAGUUGUUUCGAAAUGGGGAGUGCUGCUUGUGAUGGGAAAUUCGAGCUCGAAAUAAACCAAGAAUAGCCUACACGAGUUCCACCAGUGGAGAAAACAGAAAAAGGGCAUUACUUCUUCUGCAACUAGACCAAAACAUUGCUGUUAGAGAAAGGAAAUGCAGAUGCUGCAAAAAUUGUUCGAGAGUUAUUGUCUAAGGUUCUUGUUCAGCUGUUCAUUUCUACCCUCUUGCAGGGCGGCUAACAAUCAGUCCUGAGGGUAAGUUGAUUAUUGAUUAUACCGGUGAAGGACCGUUGUUGGUCGAGGCAGAGGCGAAUUGCUCUGUGUUGGAGCUGGGAAUAGCUGGUGCUGAUCCCAUGGUGCUAAAGAACCUUGUUUAUGAUGUUCCUUGUGCUAAAAAUAUCAUUGAGACUCCUUUUUUCAGGGUGGAGGUUGGUGUAAUAAUGUUAGAACAUGUGUCUAAGGAAAUCUACUCGACGUAGGUCAUCUAAAUAUAUGGAAGUGCUUAACUUCCCUUUUCCUAUGAAAAAUAUCGUUUACUUAUGUUCUAUUUCGAGAUUGAUUAUGGCGGGAUGGUGUUGUAACUUGUAAGUUGCGAUCAUGUACCCAACAAUACAAAGAGAAACGUAUGUGGAUUAUUAGAGUUCGCAAUUAAGAAUUUGAUCAUACCUAUGAUCAUGUCAAGUUUUUUGAAUUUAUGGUGUAAUACAAGACUAAUUGAAAUUAUUUUACGAUUGUUUGGGU